GCCUGGCUGGCUCAGUCAGUGGAGCACUAGACUCUUAAUCUCAGGAUCAUGAGUUCAAGCCCUAUGGUGGGCA
rnacentral:tRNA from 1 species